UUGUAACCAAGAGAGCCAGGUGGUUACGUUAGUUGCUAAACAGUUCGCAUACAAGCGGUUGGUAGGCGACAGUUGGAAUGUUUGCGUUCACACACCAUUAUCAUGAGCGGUCUCGAACAGUGAUUAAAUGAUUUGGGAAGGAAGUUCGUUAGUAACAGUACGCAUGCACAAGUUAGCCGUUUAGCUAGCUAACAAACUAUUUAAAAACAAAUCAAACUUGACUGUCAACAGCGAGUACAAAAUGCCAGUUCAAACGAUGCAAUUGGCAUUAUACGAUGCAACUCGUUUUGUAGAAACACAAUUUCACGCAAAUAGCUUUGCUUGAUCAACAGCACUAGCUAACUAACAUAGUUAGCUCAUUUGAAUAUCCUCAAGGCCAACGUGAGUAGUUAGCUAGCUAACGCGUUAGUCUAGCCCUUUGAUUUGGUGAAGAAUGGCUGGUACCGUAUUGGGCGUGGGAACUUUUUUUUCUUCUUCCAUUGCUCUUAUCUGGAUUGUAGCUUUCGUGCUGGGGAUGAUCCUCUUGAGAGCUACUGGACCAACUAAGGGUCAUCCCUGUCUUCCUGCUGGCCCUCAUUUCCACUCUUAUCCUGGUGUUCUUCCCCUGUAGCUCAGAGACCCUGUCACCAUUCAAAGAUUUUGAGCAGCACAAACAGACUGCAGUGCUUUCCUCCUGCACCGCCUGCCAAAUAAUGCAGCCAGAUCCGCCAAGCUGCCACCCCACAGAGGGCACCACCAGCCUGGCCAGUUUGUGUUAGAACUGAUUGCAGUGGCUCACUUGUGACAUCUGUUGGAAGAAAGAGGAAUUACACAGACCAUUUAAACAGAAGAUACCCACUUAUCAAACAUACAGAAACCAUCUAUCCUAAACUAACCCAUUUAUCAUCAGUUUGUACUGAUGAUAACUGUCUGAACAUCUCUUUCCUCCUGCAGACCGUAGACACUUUCUUCAUCAGCCGAUACGUCCUGCUGUCGGUGGCCAGCGUAGGCUUCUUGGUUGCUCUGUUCGGCCUGCUGCCCCUCCAUUUCCUGGAAGCUGUCUAUGCCAAGCCCUUGAACACACUAGAGCUGAGUGGCCAGGCCAAGUUGGCAUGCUAGACUGGUGGCCAGGGCCCAAUGUGCAGCGCUGGAGAUGAGAAGAGGCCAACUAAGAGGGGCCCUAGUGAAAUCGAGCGAAGGACAGGUUGGCAACCGAUCCCAAAAACAGAUCGGGCCAAUGUUUUCUCCGUGAUCGACUGUUUGUUGUUGGGGGGAAUUUUGGGCCAACUGAAAUUAAAGACGCUACUAUGUUCUUUGGUAUAGGCCACUGUAAACAUAAACAAUGUGUUGUGUUUAUGGAUAGCAAUUAGGCUACUUUGAAUUGUGGUGGUGGAAUAGCACUUGCAUUAAUAUAAUGCAUUUAUCUCUAUUGCCUGAUUCAGAAGUUCAGAGGAUAAGACUGAUAACUGUAUGUAUAUUUUUGACAUUCACUUUUUUUCUCCACUUGUAUUUAUAAAAUGGAUGUAUUGUGAUUUUUAGGAGAACUUUAUUAAACAUUUCAAUAUUGUUAA